rnacentral:rRNA from 1 species
GAUGAACGCUGGCGGCGUGCCUAAUACAUGCAAGUCGAGCGAACAGACGAGGAGCUUGCUCCUUUGACGUUAGCGGCGGACGGGUGAGUAACACGUAGGUAACCUACCUAUAAGACUGGGAUAACUUCGGGAAACCGGAGCUAAUACCGGAUAAUAUUUCGAACCGCAUGGUUCGAUAGUGAAAGAUGGCUUUGCUAUCACUUAUAGAUGGACCUGCGCCGUAUUAGCUAGUUGGUAAGGUAACGGCUUACCAAGGCAACGAUACGUAGCCGACCUGAGAGGGUGAUCGGCCACACUGGAACUGAGACACGGUCCAGACUCCUACGGGAGGAAGCAGUAGGGAAUCUUCCGCAAAGGGCGAAAGCCUGACGGAGCAACGCCGCGUGAGUGAUGAAGGUCUUCGGAUCGUAAAACUCUGUUAUUAGGGAAGAACAAACGUGUAAGUAACUGUGCACGUCUUGACGGUACCUAAUCAGAAAGCCACGGCUAAGUACGUG